rnacentral:rRNA from 1 species
AAUGAACGUUGGCGGCGUGGAUUAGGCAUGCAAGUCGAGCGCGAACCCCGCAAGGGGUGAAAGCGGCGAAAGGGAGAGUAACGCGUGGGUAUCUGCCCUCGGGACUGGGAUAGCUGCGGGAAACUGCAGGUAAUACCAGAUGACGUCCCCGGACCAAAGGUGUGAUUCCGCCUGAGGAUGAGCCCGCGUCCUAUUAGCUAGUUGGUAGGGUAAUGGCCUACCAAGGCAAUGAUGGGUACUGGGUGUGAGAGCACGACCCAGCUCACUGGGACUGAGACACGGCCCAGACGCCUCCGGGUGGCUGCAGUCGAGAAUCUUCGGCAAUGGGCGAAAGCCUGACCGAGCGACGCCGCGUGUGGGAUGAAGGCCUUCGGGUUGUAAACCGCUGUCAGAGGGGAGGAAUGGGCGGAGGGUAAUCUCUUCGUUUUGACCUAUCCUCAGAGGAAGUACGGGCUAAGUUCGUGCCAGCCGCCGCCGUAA